AUUGAACGCUGGCGGCAGGCUUAACGCAUGCAAGUCGAACGGUAACAGGGGAAAGCUUGCUUUCUUGCUGACGAGUGGCGGACGGGUGAGUAAUGCUUGGGAAUCUGGCUUAUGGAGGGGGAUAACGACGGGAAACUAUCGCUAAUACCGCGUAGAAUCGAGAGAUGAAAGUGCGGGACCGCAAGGCCGCAUGCCAUGAGAUGAGCCCAAGUGGGAUUAGGUAGUUGGUGGGGUAAAGGCCUACCAAGCCGACGAUCUCUAGCUGGUCUGAGAGGAUGACCAGCCACACCGGGACUGAGACACGGCCCGGACUCCUACGGGAGGCAGCAGUGGGGAAUAUUGCGCAAUGGGGGCAACCCUGACGCAGCCAUGCCGCGUGAAUGAAGAAGGCCUUCGGGUUGUAAAGUUCUUUCGGUGACGAGGAAGGUUGUUGUGUUAAUAGCGCAACAAAUUGACGUUAAUCACAGAAGAAGCACCGGCUAACUACGUGCCAGCAGCCGCGGUAAUACGUAGGGUGCGAGCGUUGUCCGGAAUUACUGGGCGUAAAGGGCUCGUAGGUGGUUUGUCGCGUCGUCUGUGAAAUUCUGGGGCUUAACUCCGGGCGUGCAGGCGAUACGGGCAUAACUUGAGUGCUGUAGGGGUAACUGGAAUUCCUGGUGUAGCGGUGAAAUGCGCAGAUAUCAGGAGGAACACCGAUGGCGAAGGCAGGUUACUGGGCAGUUACUGACGCUGAGGAGCGAAAGCAUGGGUAGCGAACAGGAUUAGAUACCCUGGUAGUCCAUGCCGUAAACGGUGGGCGCUAGGUGUGAGGGUCUUUCUACGACUUUCGUGCCGUAGCUAACGCAUUAAGCGCCCCGCCUGGGGAGUACGGCCGCAAGGCUAAAACUCAAAGGAAUUGACGGGGGCCCGCACAAGCGGCGGAGCAUGUGGAUUAAUUCGAUGCAACGCGAAGAACCUUACCUGGGCUUGACAUACACCAGAUUGGGCUAGAGAUAGUUCGUCCCUUUGUGGUUGGUGUACAGGUGGUGCAUGGUUGUCGUCAGCUCGUGUCGUGAGAUGUUGGGUUAAGUCCCGCAACGAGCGCAACCCUUGUCUUAUGUUGCCAGCAUUUGGUUGGGGACUCAUGAGAGACUGCCGGGGUUAACUCGGAGGAAGGUGGGGAUGACGUCAAAUCAUCAUGCCCCUUAUGUCCAGGGCUUCACACAUGCUACAAUGGUCGGUACAACGCGCUGCGACACUGUGAGGUGGAGCGAAUCGCUGAAAGCCGGCCUUAGUUCGGAUUGGGGUCUGCAACUCGACCCCAUGAAGUCGGAGUCGCUAGUAAUCGCAGAUCAGCAAUGCUGCGGUGAAUACGUUCCCGGGCCU
rnacentral:rRNA from 1 species